AGAAAAUAAGGGCAUGAAAGGAAAGCACUGCAGAGCAAAACCUACUGUUUUGAAUGUCCUGGAGUUGUUCAUCCUCUGAAAAGGAAAACAGGACAUGAAAACAAUUUAAAGAAAACCUUCAAACAGUCAAAGCCAGGCUGGUGUGGAGAUGUACUGUAAACUCAGGCAGGCAGCCCUGGACCUGAGAGUCCCUGAGCAUCAUGAGCAUGUCCUUAUAUCACAGCCACUGACUGUGGGAAUCACAUACUGUGCUGGAGACCAAAGCACAGGACAGCUCGGCACGGUCACCUCUACACCAUGUGGGAUGUACUCAGCUUCACAGCUCCAGCCCUACCCCUUGAACCAUACCAGAGUGCAGCUGUACUGCUGGAGGCUGUGAAAUAACUGAAGCCGACGGAAAGGUGAAGUGCUGGGAGAGAUGAAGGAGGCGCGUUUGAAGGCAUUUUCUUCCUUUUUGUCACAUCUCACCGCAAAGCUUUUAAUUCCUGGAGCUCGGCUCCUUCCUGGAAAGCCUGAGCUGCUGUGAUGGAGGGGGUGGGCUCUGCGGGGUGGGGGUCCCACCAGCUGCAGCAGGGGCAGGAGGAAGGAGCUCUCAGCCCCAUCCCCACCUCUUGGUCCCUGGGACGUGCCCAGCAGAGCUCGUGCAGGAACAGCCACCGAGGAGGAGGACACAUUCCCUCCCGGUGCCACCAGGCCAUGUGGUGUGUGGAGAGCACAUCACUGGCAGCAGGGUGCCAUGAGUGAGGAAGGACCCAGCGGUUGGGUAUUUUUUUUCUGCACCCAUAUAGAGUUACCAUAGUCCGGGUAUCAGCGCAUCCCUCUCCCUAACAGAGGGUUAGCAAGAAGCAUCAAACAGAAUUCACAAUGUGAGAAAGCAUCUGAAAUCAAAUUUUCUUCUUUGGAGGGGAAAAAUAUCUUUUUUUUUUUCUUCUUUUUUUUUAAGGAAAAACGGUGAUUGGAAACUUGACUUUUCCUUGUACUGAAUUUGUCUGCCUUGGGAUAGCUGCGUACUCUGCUAGUCCAACUGCAUUUUUCACUCUUAAAUAAUGAAAGCCACAGCACAGCUCCAGGAGUGGGGGUACCUGGGGGAAGCGUAAUAAAAUCGCAACAGCAGAGAUGCCA
rnacentral:lncRNA from 1 species